rnacentral:lncRNA from 1 species
UUUGGCCCAAUUAUUCUAUCUUCACUAAUUAAUAUAAUAAAAAUAAAUAAAACAUUAUUUUUAAUUAUCAAAACAAUUCUAAAUUAUUCUACUUACUUCUAUCAUCCCUCCANUUUCUCAAUUUCUCAUAUUUGGCCCAAUUAUUCUAUCUUCACUAAUUAAUAUAAUAAAAAUAAAUAAAACAUUAUUUUUAAUUAUCAAAACAAUUCUAAAUUAUUCUACUUACUUCUAUCAUCCCUCCAUACCCCU